GCCCGCUACAGAAACUCAAAGGAAUUAGGACGGGGCCCGCACAAGCGGUGGAGUAUGUGGUUUAAUUCGAUGCAACGCGAAGAACCUUACCUGGUCUUGACAUCCCGGAGACCCUUAGGAAACUAGGGGGUGCUUCCAUCUGGAAGAAUCUGGAGACAGGUGCUGCAUGGCUGUCGUCAGCUCGUGUCGUGAGAUGUUGGGUUAAGUCCCGCAACGAGCGCAACCCUUGCCUUUAGUUGCCAGCAGUUCGGCUGGGCACUCUAAAGGGACUGCCGGUGUUAAACCGGAGGAAGGUGGGGAUGACGUCAAGUCCUCAUGGCCUUUAUGACCAGGGCUACACACGUACUACAAUGGCCGAUACAAAGGGCAGCGACACUGCGAGGUGAAGCCAAUCCCGUAAAAUCGGUCUCAGUCCGGAUUGGAGUCUGCAACUCGACUCCAUGAAGUUGGAAUCGCUAGUAAUCGUGGAUCAGCAUGCCACGGUGAAUACGUUCCCGGGCCUU
rnacentral:rRNA from 1 species